CGAAGGGGACUAGCGUUGUUCGGAAUUACUGGGCGUAAAGCGCGCGUAGGCGGAUCGCUAAGUCAGGGGUGAAAUCCCAGGGCUCAACCCUGGAACUGCCUUUGAAACUGUCUCUCUAGAGGAUUGACGGAGAAAGGGGAAUUCCACGUGUAGCGGUGAAAUGCGUAGAUACGUGGAGGAACACCGGUGGCGAAAGCGCCUUUCUAGUUUAGACCUGACGCUGAGGCGCGAGAGCAAGGGGAGCAAACAGGAUUAGAUACCCUGGUAGUCCUUGUCGUAAACGAUGUUUACUUGAUGUAGUUAGGCUCAACCCUGACUGUGUCGUAGCUAACGCGAUAAGUAAACCGCCUGAGGAGUACGCUCGCAAGGGUG
rnacentral:rRNA from 1 species